GAUGAACGCUGGCGGCGUGCUUAACACAUGCAAGUCGAACGGAAAGGCUCCUGCUUGCAGGGGUACUCGAGUGGCGAACGGGUGAGUAACACGUGGGUGAUCUGCCCUGCACUUCGGGAUAAGCCUGGGAAACUGGGUCUAAUACCGGAUAGGACGAUGGUUUGGAUGCCAUUGUGGAAAGUUUUUCGGUGUGGGAUGAGCUCGCGGCCUAUCAGCUUGUUGGUGGGGUAAUGGCCUACCAAGGCGUCGACGGGUAGCCGGCCUGAGAGGGUGUACGGCCACAUUGGGACUGAGAUACGGCCCAGACUCCUACGGGAGGCAGCAGUGGGGAAUAUUGCACAAUGGGCGCAAGCCUGAUGCAGCGACGCCGCGUGGGGGAUGACGGCCUUCGGGUUGUAAACUCCUUUCGCUAGGGACGAAGCGCAAGUGACGGUACCUGGAGAAGAAGCACCGGCUAACUACGG
rnacentral:rRNA from 1 species